rnacentral:misc_RNA from 1 species
GCAAACUUGGUCAUUUAGAGGAAGUAAAAGUCGUAACAAGGUUUCCGUAGGUGAACCUGCGGAAGGAUCAUUAGAGAUUUAGUAAAUCCUAUCACCCGUGUGCAAUCUGCGAAGUCCGAUAUUCUUGGAGAGGUCAUCGUUCUUAAACUCUCCAAGGAGGUUAUCACGAUUAAUGCAUUUUUUCUUUUCUUUCCUUAAGAAUAUUACUGUCUAAAAAAUAAUCUAAAUAAGAAACAACUUUCAACAAUGGAUCUCUUGGCUCUCGCAUCGAUGAAGAACGCAGC